UGUAGGAGUGAGCCUGCUCGCGAUAGCGAUGUGUCAGUCGACAUUAAUAUCAACUGAUCCACCGCUAUCGCGAGCAGGCUCACUCCUACA
rnacentral:antisense_RNA from 1 species